rnacentral:rRNA from 1 species
UACGAAGGGGGCUAGCGUUGUUCGGAAUUACUGGGCGUAAAGCGCACGUAAGCGGACCAUAAAGUUGGGGGUGAAAUCCCGGGGCUCAACCUCGGAACUGCCUUCAAAACUAUUGGUCUGGAGUUCGGGAGAGGUGAGUGGAACUCCGAGUGUAGAGGUGAAAUUCGUAGAUAUUCGGAGGAACACCAGUGGCGAAGGCGGCUCACUGGCUCGGUACUGACGCUGAGGUGCGAAAGCGCGGGGAGCAAACAGG